rnacentral:tRNA from 1 species
CGCACGAGAGCUCACAACGUAAAGCAAAGGACUGAAAAUCCUCGUGUCACCAGUUCAAAUAAA